CCACUCAUCGUAUAUUUAAUCUCGGAGACUGGUGUUGUCCUGCUGCCCAGCUCCACAGCAUAUAUUGGGAACAGAAAUGCAGAGCAGAUCUGAGGUUUAUGGCGGGGAAGCCCCUACACCGUCGUCAUUGAUGGCAAGCCAGCCUCACCCAACCCAACCUCUUUCGCUUUGGGACAAGACUGGUGCUGGGUCGUCCAGGACCUGCACCUGCACCAGUGACAAGAAGCUUUUCCAAGUUUGUUCUUACCUAAACCAAAUAUAUGUGGGGGGAAAAUCAGCCAAACAUGGAUUAUUACAAACACUGAGGUUAAAUAUAAAUCCAUUGUAUGUUAAAGACAGAGUGACAAAAACAACUACCUUAAUGUAUCGCUAUCUAUCUCUGUUUGUGUCUUUCAAACUGAGCAUUUCAUUAGGAAGGGUGGAGGGUGGAGUUCUUCGGGCAGAUGGAGGCACUCUUUACGUGACCUUUGCAGAGCAUGAGUUGUGUAGAUGACCAAAAGGUUGAGGGGCUGGUGCGAUCACCAGGGGAGCUGCCAUUAAUUACACAAGCCCUGCGGCACCUCGGACAGUACACCCGCCUACAGGGUGAGCACGUCGGCCCCCGACUGACGACUAGGUGUCAACUGUGAGGUCAGCAGUUUAAUGCCUUAAAUGCAAAGGUUAGUAACUUACAUAUUAUGUGUGCAAGUGUGACAAAGAAUUUCCCCUUGGGGAUCAAUAAAGUAUUUCUGAUUUCUGAUUAAUUCUCUAAACUCAAGAAACAGCCAUAUUUGGCAGUCAUUGUAGUCAUUGUCAAAAGACAACAAAGACUGCUUAAAGUAAAAUGUAUAUAAAAGACAUUUAGAUAUUUAGUGUUUUAUGUAAUGCUGCUGCCAUAAAACAAUGGCAUCUUGUCUUUGGACAUUUUAAAGCAUGUGAUGUAGCUUCACUGAGGCUGUUAAACAAUAUGGAUGUAACUGUCCUACAUUAUGGAACAAGUGGUUCAUAAAACCAGAGUUACAUACAGAUUACAAGGGAAUUUUAUGGGAAAAAUUUAAGGGGCUAUCCUUUUAUUAAAAUGGAAAUACCAUAACGAUAACAUUAUUAUUACUACAAUAAUAAUAAAAAGGAAGCAAAACUGUUGAAAUUACAUGUCUGCAUCCUGUUGAUAUUCCCAGUUAUCAUAGUUAAUGUGAAGACUGUUGUAUUUUGUUAUAUAUAGAAUGUUGAAUAAAUUGUUCAAAUUU